GUAGGGAAUCUUCGGCAAUGGACGGAAGUCUGACCGAGCAACGCCGCGUGAGUGAAGAAGGUUUUCGGAUCGUAAAGCUCUGUUGUAAGAGAAGAACGAGUGUGAGAGUGGAAAGUUCACGCUGUGACGGUAUCUUACCAGAAAGGGACGGCUAACUACGUGCCAGCAGCCGCGGUAAUACGUAGGUCCCGAGCGUUGUCCGGAUUUAUUGGGCGUAAAGCGAGCGCAGGCGGUUAGAUAAGUCUGAAGUUAAAGGCUGUGGCUUAACCAUAGUACGCUUUGGAAACUGUUUAACUUGAGUGCAAGAGGGGAGAGUGGAAUUCCAUGUGUAGCGGUGAAAUGCGUAGAUAUAUGGAGGAACACUGGUGGCGAAAGCGGCUCUCUGGCUUGUAACUGACGCUGAGGCUCGAAAGCGUGGGGAGCAAACAGGAUUAGAUACCCUGGUAGUCCACGCCGUAAACGAUGAGUGCUAGGUGUUAGACCCUUUCCGGGGUUUAGUGCCGAAGCUAACGCAUUAAGCACUCCGCCUGGGGAGUACGACCGCAAGGUUG
rnacentral:rRNA from 1 species